GGCUCUGUGGUCUAGUGGUAUGAUUCGUGCUUCGGGAAUUCCUUCCCCUGCUUGGGAAACAAGUACUGUGCGAGGUCUCGGGUUCGAUCCCCGACAGAGCCC
rnacentral:tRNA from 1 species